rnacentral:rRNA from 1 species
GACGAACGCUGGCGGCGUGCUUAACACAUGCAAGUCGAACGGUGCGUAGCAAUACGCAUAGUGGCGGACGGGUGAGUAACGCGUGAGCAACCUGCCUCUGUCAGGGGGAUAACACUUAGAAAUAGGUGCUAAUACCGCAUAAGACCACAGACCGGCAUCGGUCAGGGGUAAAAGCGUAUACGGACAGAGAUGGGCUCGCGUCCCAUUAGCUAGUUGGUGAGGUAACGGCCCACCAAGGCGACGAUGGGUAGCCGACCUGAGAGGGUGAACGGCCACAUUGGAACUGAGAAACGGUCCAA